UUUGCCCUGGCUUCAGAUCUCG
rnacentral:miRNA from 1 species